GCAGCAGCAGCAGCAGCACACGGGACCGAAAUGGCGUAGCGCGCAGUCCACCGCCGCAGCAGCGCAGCGGGGCCAGGCUCACCGAACAUCUCCGAGCCUGGCCCGUCAUACUUCAACCACCGAGUAUGAUGGAGAUGACUUUUAGUUCCAGUUCACUCGCUUCGAAACCAGCACGAGAUCACCGGAGACGUGCCCUUCAUAUGUCAUAUCAAGAAAAGAAAGGAUCAGUCCUGAAGGGAACUCAUGACCAGAUGAGACGGUCAUCUCUUUGUUCUUCAAACUGCUCUCCAUCCCGAUAAGUUGACCUUCCUCCAGCGUUAUUUCAGGGAAGUGUUUGUUCAGCAUACCAACUGUCACUGGUCUAUGAACAUAUCAUCUCUGCACUUUGGAGACGACAGCUGAAGUUGUUUUUAUCCAUGAAAGAACUGUAAACUCUUCAUGUGUCCAAAAAAAGUUAAGUAACACAAUUGUGCCACAGUACAGAGCUACCAUCUGGUCAUAUUUGUUAUAAAUAAAUCCAGUGGAGUAUUUAUAUGCUCACAGGUUGUUUUAAAAGAAAGUGAAAAUGGAAAAAGCGAAAGCGCACUUGCUUUGCAGGUAAAACAAAUGCACAUUAAAAAAAACUAAAUCAUGCAAGCAAGAUGAAGUAGCUUGAUUCAACAAUUUUAUUAUCUGCAGAUUAAGUGCCUAGACAUGUUUUUAACAGCUUCUGUCUUUCAGUUGUCUAUUUCCAUGGCUUGGCUUUAAAUUUACAAGUAAAGCACUACUUGCUCAUUUAUUUAGUCUUGAAAGUGGCUGAAAAUUUAACUUCUGAGACAACAAACUGUAGACAGAUAGCUGUUCUAUUAGUUCAGAACUCAUACUGGUGCUUUCGCAAAACCAUUGUACCAUGCUUUCAUGUUUUCUAUGUAUUUGUACUGACAAACCAAGACAGACGGUGGCACACUGACCCGAGCAUAAGCUUUAUAAAUUCCACGGUUAAACCUUUCUAGUGGGGGUGGGGUGCUAAUGAGAUGCAGGACAUAAUGAAGUAUAAUUAUUUUACUACCUCAGAAGUUACCACAGCUCAGACCCACACAGCGAGCACUCCGAUCAAACUAUAUUCACAUGCUUUUCUCAUAGUAAUGUAAAUAAAAGUCAUUGUCUGUCAAACGGUUUGGAAAUCAGUUGGAAAAGGAGUGAGCAUGUUUCGUUUCACUUCAUGUGCAUUAUUUUAUGAAUAGGUUUGGGAAUAUUACUCAAAUUGUAUAGAGACCUUGUAGUUCACUGGUUAGACACUGGCAGCCAAAAGUUUGAAAUAAUUAAGUUGUUUAACUAUUUUUAAAAGAAGCCUCUUCUGCUCAUCAAGGCGGCAUUUAUUUGAUCAAAAACACAGUAAAAUCAGUAAUAUUGUGAAGUGUUAUUACAAUUUAAAAUAACUCUUUUCUAUUUGAAUAUUUUUUAAAAUGUAAUUUAUUCCUGUGAUGGCAAAGCUGAAUUUUCAGCAGACAUUACUCACAUGAUCCUUCAUUAUUAUUAUAAAUGUUGAAAUCAGUUUUUGUAGAGACUGUGAGAUAUUUUUAUAGGAUUCUUUGAUUAAUAGAAAGUUCAUCGAACAACAUUUGUUUUAAAUAGAUUUUUCCUUUACUGUCAUGUUUGAUGAAUUUAAUGCAUUCUUGCUGAACAAAAAUAUUAAUUUCUUUCUUUUUAUACAUUUACUUUGAUAAAAAUAAACGUUAAUUAAGCACCAAAUCAUCACAUUAAAUUGUGUUCUGAAGGAUUAUGUGAAAAUUCAGAUUUGACAAUACAGAAAUAAAUUACGUUUUGAAAUAUAUUAAAUUAGAAAACUGUUAUUUAAAAUUUCACAAUAUUACUGUUUUUAACUAAAUUUCUAAUGAAAUAAAUGUAGCCAAUGGUGAGCAUGAAAAUGAAAUCAAAACCAUUAAAAACAUUUUUUAAAAAUCUGAUUAUUCCAAAGGUUUGGCUGCCAGUAUCUAUUUGUCCUACAUGUUUUCCAGGACAUACAGAGUGAAAUAAACAUAUCAUUUUCAUCUAGUAACAUUUUCAUGUUUAUUAUCCUCAUUAAGCCUGAUGAGAGGCAGUAGAAUGGUUAAAUGUUAGGCCCGAGUCACAGCGUUAUAAAUAGUUGUUAAUAGUUUAGUAUGUUUCAGUGUAGCAUCUCAUAGAUUACGGCAAGUAAGUCUCUGGGUUUCUGACGCAGCCUGUGCUCGGUCCUCAGCUACAGUGCACUGUGAACAUAGGAAUUUAACUUCAUCCGUGCUGAGAAAAUGUACCCAAUAUUUGUUUUGUUUGUACAGUAGUUUCUAUCAUACGAAGUGGUAGAAAUAUGAUGUUUCUUGGGAGAAAGAGUAGUGAGGCCUCAGUGUGGGAAAUGUGCAAUAUUUGUUUCUUUCCUUUGUCUUGUUUUAAGAUGAAUAUGUAUAUUGUACAAACAAGUGACAAGUUGUUCGCAAAAACAACAAAAUCACCAAUGUCUUCCAUUAAAUGAUGUAUAGUUUCAUCCGCUUGCUUUAGGGUGGCGGGAUUUGUAGUGCCAGCAUAAACAUGGCCAUGCAUGUACGGUAGCGAUGCUUGCUGAGUUUAAUAGUCGUAGUGACAUUCAGUAUAUGCUAUUAUAAAGUCGUUUAGAGUAAAAAAUUAGGCAGAUAAAGAUUUAGUUAGUAACCACCAUGGAUGCAGCAUCCACAUCUUGAUCGACUUGAUUAAGAAGCGACUAGACGAGUCAUUUUCUCUUCGUUUUAGUUUUUAAUCAACAAACACAGUUGUUUAUUCACAGGUAAUCACUAUUAGUUAAUAAUAAUAAUGUGUUGUAGCAUGCUGAGGAUUAGAAAAAUGGCGGUUGGUGUUGACGUGCGGCUAGCCAUGCUGAAAUACAUUUAUAUGUUUCAUAAGCACUGUGUGAGUUUGUCCUAGUUUGUACUGUGCAAAAAGAAGUUCUGGGCCCAAAAUAGUUGCUUCAGUCCCUGAUGGGGCAGACAAUUUGGCUUGGUGGCUUAGAAGAUAUUUCAGGUGUUGAAGUUCAUACCUGUUUCGAGAUGAUACCUUUUCAUGGAAACAAAAGAAUUGAUCCUGAAGCAUUAUUUGGUAAUAAUCAGACACAAAGGAGUAUUCUUGUCCUGAUUAGAAAGGGUAACCUAGAACUGUGUUUGUAUUCAUACCUCUAAUAUUGCAUUCUCCAUCAGGUAAUGUUGUCUCAGACUAGAGCUGUGGGCAGAUUUUUUCCUAGUAGCAGAAACUCUAAAGCAGGGGUCACCAGACCCGGUCCUUGAGGGCCGGUGUCCCUGCAGAGUUUAGCUCCAACCCUAAUCAAACACACCUGAACCAGAUAAUCAAGCUCUUACUAGGUAUGCUUGAAACUUCCAGGCAGGUGUGUUGAGGAAAGUUGGAGGUAAACUCUGCAGGACACCGGCCCUCCAAGUUUGGUGACCCCUGCUCUAAAGUAACAUGUAGUAUAUUAAGUGGCAUAAAGCAAUUAUCAAAGCAUUGUAAUGUAGAUAAAUACCUCAAUGACUGGAAUGCAAACUAUAUUUUUAAAUAUACUCAAAGAUAUGCAAGCCAUGAUGUGUAUUAAGUUCAACGUUUAGAAGCAAUAAUCAGUUUAUGCAUGAGUUGUAGUGUCGGAAUAGUUCAGUGGUAUUUGUGAAAUAGAAAUCUGUAGCAUAUUUGUGACAGUGGUAAGUGUUUGAUCCAGAACAUCCCAUUGCUCAUAUUUCGUAGUACAGAACAGCACCAUUAUUCAUUGACACCAAAUAAAUAUUUGACGGUAGCACUGAGGGUCUAACAAAUAUUAAAGACCUUUUUUAUUUUGGACAGGUGGAGGAAAGUUAUAAGCAGUAGCGAAUAUAUAUAUAUAUAUAUGCAGGGCUUACGCCCUUCUAUUGACCUUGCAUGUUUACAUACAAACCAUUGUGGAACGCACAUAAGCUGUAUGUAUAUAUAGCUUAUUUUCAUUAACAGCAAUAUGAGCAGUGUUCUGGUAGCAUUUUGUGACACUCUGAUGAUUCAUCGUCUCAGUGAAUCCUGGGUAAACAUUAUACCACAAUGCAUUCACAAAACUGAAAAGAUCCAUUGGGAAUUAACUAGUAUUUUUUUAAUAAGAGUGCAAAAAACAUUUGCUAAUGCAUGGUAGAAGUGGAUAAGAAAUGUUUUGUGCUGCAUGCAAUAAUUCAGCUUUGCUUGAACAUAUUUAUGCAGAAAUGUGAUAAAUCUAUGAGUGGACCAAUGUUGUGACUUUCUUUUCAAAUGCAUGAAAUCCCAAAGGUUUAUUGCUACUGUAAAUUAUUCACAGAUGUAUUCAUUAAAAGAUGUUACUUUUUGGAUUUGAAUAUUGUAUGAUGAAAAUGUAACAAGUCUGUGAUUCAAGAGGCAAGAUACAGUGAGUUUUAGCAAAAUCGACUAUUGUGAAUUUUAAUGGAACAAGUUCUUAUUCAUGUUCAGUGCAAAUAGUGCAGAACAUAUGUUUAUAUGCUUUGCUGACCUGAUUUGUGUUGCUGAUUUUGCCUCUGAAUGUGAAACUCUAUGCUUAGUCUGAUCUAUGCACUACAGAUGCGCCCCGCAUGAUUUUGUACAAAAAAAAAUUAAAUUUUAGCAAUAAAAAAAGCAGCAUGGUGCCAAUCAUAA